UCGGGAUUAGCUUAGCUGGUAGAGCGCCAGACUCUGAAUCUGGAGGUCCUAGGUUCGACUCCUAGAUCCCGAG
rnacentral:tRNA from 1 species